rnacentral:rRNA from 1 species
GACCAGACUCCUACGGGAGGCAGCAGUGAGGAAUAUUGGUCAAUGGGCGAGAGCCUGAACCAGCCAAGUCGCGUGAGGGAGUACUGCCCUAUGGGUUGUAAACCUCUUUUGUCGGGGAGCAAAAGCCGGACGUGUCCGGCUGUGAGAGUACCCGAAGAAAAAGCAUCGGCUAACUCCGUGCCAGCAGCCGCGGUAAUACGGAGGAUGCGAGCGUUAUCCGGAUUUAUUGGGUUUAAAGGGUGCGCAGGCGGCACGGCAAGCCGGCGGUCAAAUCGCGGGGCUCAACCCCGCCCAGCCGUCGGAACUGCCGGGCUAGAGUGGGCGAGAAGUGCGCGGAAUGCGUGGUGUAGCGGUGAAAUGCAUAGAUAUCACGCAGAACUCCGAUUGCGAAGGCAGCGCACCGGCGCCCUACUGACGCUCAGGCACGAAAGCGUGGGUAUCGAACAGGAUUAGAUACCCCCGUA